rnacentral:rRNA from 1 species
AUUGAACGCUGGCGGCAGGCCUAACACAUGCAAGUCGAACGGUAGCACAGAGAGCUUGCUCUCGGGUGACGAGUGGCGGACGGGUGAGUAAUGUCUGGGAAACUGCCCGAUGGAGGGGGAUAACUACUGGAAACGGUAGCUAAUACCGCAUAACGUCUUCGGACCAAAGUGGGGGACCUCCGGGCCUCACACCAUCGGAGGUGCCCAGAUGGGAUUAGCUAGUAGGUGGGGUAAUGGCUCACCUAGGCGACGAUCCCUAGCUGGUCUGAAAGGAUGACCAGCCACACUGGAACUGAGACACGGUCCAGACUCCUACGGGAGGCAGCAGUGGGGAAUAUUGCACAAUGGGCGCAAGCCUGAUGCAGCCAUGCCGCGUGUAUGAAGAAGGCCUUCGGGUUGUAAAGUACUUUCAGCGGGGAGGAAGGCGAUGUGGUUAAUAACCGCAUCGAUUGACGUUACCCGCAGAAGAAGCACCGGCUAACUCCGUGCCAGCCGCCGCUGUAACAC